rnacentral:rRNA from 1 species
GACGAACGCUGGCGGCGUGCUUAACACAUGCAAGUCGAACGAUGAACUUGGAGCUUGCUCUGGGGGAUUAGUGGCGAACGGGUGAGUAACACGUGAGUAACCUGCCCUGGACUCUGGGAUAACUUCGAGAAAUCGGAGCUAAUACCGGAUAGGACCUUGCACCGCAUGGUGUGGGGUGGAAAGUUUUUCGGUUUGGGAUGGACUCGCGGUCUAUCAGCUUGUUGGGGGGGUAAUGGCUGACCCAGGCGUCGACGGGUAGCCGGCCUGAGAGGGGUACCGGCCAAACUGGGACUGGGACACGGCCCGGACUCCUACGGGAGGCAGAAGUGGGGAAUAUUGCACAAUGGGCGCAAGCCUGAUGCAGCAACGCCGCGUGCGGGAUGACUGCCUUCGGGUUGUAAACCGCUUUUAGUAGGGAAGAAGCCUUCGGGUGACGGUACCUGCAGAAAAAGGACCGGCUAACUGCGUGCCAGCCGCCGCGGUAACAC